UUGGCCCCGAGCCUGGGAGGCAGUGGGCGUGGAAGGAAGUCGCUCGCGAACACCCAGGGCCCCACGCCGUCAGGCGGUGUCAGAGUCGGGGCUCGCGGACCCUGCGAACCGAGGAGCGUUUUCCUCAUUUCAUAGGUGAAGAAACUGGGGGGCGCAGCGAAGUGACGUGCCAUGGGCCACGUGUCGCAGAGGGACAGAGUGGGGAGCCAGCGUGUGAACCGGCCUUUGGCCGCAGGGGCUCCCACGUGACUGCUCUGGUGUCCCCAGCCCCUCCCGCUGGGUGAAUAUUUGCCAGACGGUAGAGCUGGAGAGCCGGUCACUGCCGACUUGUGCUAAAUUCUGUGCGCCCUCGGAGUCGGGAAAGUGGGUGUCACAGAGGGCGGGUGUUCCCGAAGGCCUGGCCCCCUCUGAGAGGCUCCGGGUCCUGGCUCGUGAGGCUGAGCCAGGAGGAGGAGGGGACCCCGCCAGAGCCCCGGGCCUGCGAGGAGAGGGCCCGUCCCCGGCCCUCCGCCGAGCCCCGUGCAUCCAGCGAGCCCAGACCGGCUUCUGUCAGCAGCAGCGCCGGGGAGCGGGCCCUGUGCUCGCGAGAAGCCGGCCCGCCCAGCCGCAUCUGCUGCGGAUUAAGGACGAUAGCUAUUGAGUCCCUGCUCAGUACCAUAACGGGAAAGAAAAACCGACCCAGCCUGAUCCUGCCCCGAAGAAGCUGGCCGCUGGAGGGGAAGAGGGACUUAGCCAAGUGCCCCGAGACCUGCCUGUGAUCACCGACGUGGGAGGUGCCCGGAGGGCAGAAGCCCUGGUGCCUCCACUGCGUUGCGGCCCUCGGGACCAAAGGGAGGAUUUCGGCUGGAGUAGAGCGUGGGGCGGGGACGUAGCCUGGUGGCAGCGGCUUCGGCUCCCCUGAUGGCAGGGGGAAGCCAGGUGUGGAGGAUGUGCACACG